AGGUUGGUUAUGGUUCUAGGAAUCAGAAUCAAUGAGUUGACUCUGGUUCUAGAUAUAUUAUCCUGAUUAUUAUCGGUUUGGAUGGAGACAUGAAGAGGGUUGCGGAGAUUGUUCUGGUUCUGCCAGCAUUGGGGAAGAUGAGAGGCGGGAGGAGUACCACGGCCGUGGAGAAAGGUUUGAUGGCGGAGGCUCGGGAGAAGUUGGUGGAGAUGUGCGAAGUAUUGGCUCCUAGGGACGUGCUUGGUUGUCCUUGGUAUAAAGCUUGGGAUGAUGCCUCAAGAAGCUAUCUCCGAAGUGAAAACUCUUUCUGAUGUUGAGGGAUUAUGUGUGUCAUUUUCUAGCAAUUGUGGUUCUUCAGAUCCUGUUCUUGCUGUCAAGGAAUUUUUGAAGGAGGAGCCAUAUAUUGCUGAAGAAACUGAGAAAAUCACAGAGGAAAAUCUGCCUUCUGUCUUGGGUAGUUCUCCAACCUCAUUGGAUGUACUAAGAGCUGCAAAGCACUAUAAGUUA